rnacentral:rRNA from 1 species
AGAGCGUAGGGUGGAUGCCUUGGCACUUGACGCCGAUGAAGGACGUGACUAACUGCGAUAAGCUGUGGGGAGCUGUAAAUGAGCAUUGAUCCACAGAUUUCCGAAUGAGGAAACUCACCAAGAGAAUGUCUUGGUAUCCGUACAUAAAUACAUAGUGUACGGAAGGGCACCCGGGGAACUGAAACAUCUCAUUACCCGGAGGAAAAGAAAGAAAACGAUCGAUUCCCUUAGUAGUGGCGAGCGAAAGGGGAAGAGCCUAAACCUAUGCAUAGCGAUAUGUAUAGGGGUUAAGGGCUCGCGUAAUUAUGACAGCCGCAGAGCAGAAUGAUCUGGAAAGUUCAGUCAAAGAGGGUGACAACCCCGUAGGCGAUAGCGACUUAGUAAGGCGAGUUCCGGAGUACCACAGGACACGAGGAAUCCGGUGGGAACAUGGGAGGACCAUCUCCUAAGGCUAAAUACGUCAAGUGACCGAUAGCGAAUAGUACUGUGAAGGAACGGUGAAAAGAACCCCGGGAGGGGAGUGAAAGAGAACCUGAAACCUUAUGCUUACAAGCAGACAGAGCACUACUUAAAGUGUGAUGUCGUACCUUUUGUAGAAUGGGCCGGCGAGUUACGAUGUGUAGCGAGGUUAAGUGAUUACGUCACGGAGCCGAAGCGAAAGCGAGUUUGAAUAGAGCGAAAGUUGCAUGUCGUAGACCCGAAACCGGAUGACCUAUCCAUGAGCAGGUUGAAGCAGUGGUAAGACACUGUGGAGGACCGAACACACGCCUGUUGAAAUAGUCGGUGAUGACUUGUGGAUAGCGGAGAAAUUCCAAACGAAUCCGGAUAUAGCUGGUUCUCCUCGAAAUAGCUUUAGGGCUAGCCUCUGUACAAGAAUUCCGAAGGUAGAGCACUGAAUAGGCUAGGGGGUUUCACGACUUACCGAACCUUAUCAAACUUCGAAUGACGGAAAUUUGAUGACAGGGAGUCAGACAGUGGGAGAUAAGUUUCAUUGUCGAAAGGGAAACAGCCCAGAUCCACAACUAAGGUCCCAAAGUACAAGUUAAGUGGUAAAGGAUGUUUUGUCACUAAAACAACCAGGAUGUUGGCUUAGAAGCAGCCACACAUUAAAAGAGUGCGUAAUAGCUCACUGGUCGAGUGAUGAUGCGCCGAAGAUUACCGGGGCUAAAACUUGACACCGAAGUUUGGGGAUGUACGCAAGUACAUCGGUAGAGGAGCAAUGUAUGCGGGCUGAAGCCGUAUCGGAAGGGGCGGUGGACUGCAUACAAGAGAGAAUGCCGGCAUAAGUAGCGCAAGCGGAGCGAGAAACUCCGCCAUCGAAAGUCAAAGGUUUCCUGGGGAAGGUUCGUCCACCCAGGGUAAGUCGGGAGCUAAGUUGAGGCCGAAAGGCGUAGAUGAUGCACAAUCGGUAGAUAUUCCGAUACCACCGAAGAUAUAAGCGAAGCAGGGACACAGGAGGAUAGCCGUACCGCGCUGAUGGACAAGUGCGGGCAAGCGUUGAGGCCGGGUGUAGGUGAAGUACCUACAUUCAAAGCUGGGGCGCGAUGCCGACCGAAAUUAAGUAGGGAAGGCGGUGAAUUCACGCUGGCGAGAAAAUCUGCUAAGUUAAGCUAAGGUGCCCGUACCGCAAACCGACACAGGUUGACGAGGAGAAAAUCCUAAGAUGAACGGGAUAACUCUUGUUAAGGAACUCUGCAAAAUGACCCCGUAACUUCGGGAGAAGGGGAGCCACGCGAGUGGCCGCAGUGAAGAGGCUCAAGCGACUGUUUAUCAAAAACACAGGUCUCUGCUAAAUCGAAAGAUGAAGUAUAGGGGCUGACGCCUGCCCAGUGCUGGAAGGUUAAGGGGAAGUGUUAGGCAACGAAGCACCGAACUUAAGCCCCAGUGAACGGCGGCCGUAACUAUAACGGUCCUAAGGUAGCGAAAUUCCUUGUCAGGUAAGUUCUGACCCGCACGAAUGGCGUAACGACUUGAGCGCUGUCUCAACAGGAGGCCCGGCGAAAUUGUAGUAUACGUGAAGAUGCGUAUUACCCGCGACUGGACGGAAAGACCCCGUAGAGCUUUACUGUAAUUUGAUAUUGAAUUUCGGCAAUUGAUGUACAGGAUAGGUGGGAGACUUAGAUGCUUGUGCGCCAGCGCAAGCGGAGUCGCCGUUGGGAUACCACCCUUCAAUUGCUGGGAUUCUAACGACUAAGCCGUAAACCGGCAGUCGGACAGUGUCAGAUGGACAGUUUGACUGGGGCGGUCGCCUCCCAAAGAGUAACGGAGGCGUUCAAAGGUUCCCUCAGGAUGGUUGGAAACCAUCCAAAGAGCGUAAAGGUAGAAGGGAGCUUGACUGCGAGACUUACAAGUCGAGCAGGUACGAAAGUAGGACUUAGUGAUCCGGCGGUAGAGUAUGGAAUUGCCGUCGCUUAACGGAUAAAAGUUACCUCGGGGAUAACAGGCUUAUCUCCCCCAAGAGUUCACAUCGACGGGGAGGUUUGGCACCUCGAUGUCGGCUCGUCACAUCCUGGGGCUGUAGUCGGUCCCAAGGGUUCGGCUGUUCGCCGAUUAAAGUGGCACGCGAGCUGGGUUCAGAACGUCGUGAGACAGUUCGGUCCCUAUCCAUCGUGGGCGUAGGAUAUUUG